AAAAUUGAUAACGACUUUAUAUCUUCAUUUGGCUUCUCUUGAGUUCAUGGCAACUCCAUUACAAAUAGAUAUUAUCUAUUAGGCCACCACGACCAUCGUUUAUUCUGUGUUAACCCCUCUACCAAUGUACUAAUCAUCAUAUCAUAUUUGUCUGUCGUGAUGUUUCCUGCCAAAUUUCCUUUAGCGUAUUUAGAGUUACUACCUCGAUUAAUACAAAUGUCUAAUCUCAUAACAGUUUGUUUAUUAAAAUUAAUGGUCUAGUGAUUUAUGGUGAAAAGAAGAGUAUAGGAGGUGGCCUCUCAUGUGGUGGCUUCAAUUGUAAGCAGGUGGGGGAUAAAAUUAGUAAAGAUGAAAUACUAGAGUUUUAAAUUGAUAACACUUUUGUAAUACUAGUAAAUGACACAUUAGUAUCCUUCCAAAAAAAAAUGACACUUUAGUAAAAAAUAAUCGUAAAAUAACACUUUUUGGGAAACAUAACAAGUAGUACAUAUAUCGUCGGAAAUUUUAUUUAUAUAUAUAAAAAUAUACGACAUUUUAAUCAGUUUAAUUGAAAUGAUCACGAAUUUUAAAAUAAACCGGAUCAUGGUACUAAUUUUUCUUGUUAUAGGGCAUGUGUUGGUGCUCGUGGAGGGCCUGGUGGCCUUGGAUGCGGACCAGUGUAGUCUAGUUCAAGAUCGAUUCUUCUUCCUUUCAUCACCACCACCUCUUCUUUAACCUUCUAAAUCAACAAUUUUAAAAUAUAGUUUACAUAUCUUAAUUAGUUUCGAUACUCAUAUUUGUAAUCAACUUAUAACACUUUUUUCAUAAAAAAAAGCUUUGUUUGUUUGAUAUACCUCUUGGUGGACGUUGUCAAGAUACGAAGUCUCAACGAUCCCUAACAAAAUAUAUGUGAAAAUCAUAUAGAGAAAAUUGAGUUAGAAACAUGUAUUUUGAACUCUUUAAGAAAGCUCAUGUACAAUAUUUUUUUGUUACACAUUAAUGGAGCUACUAAAUUGUUGAAAUAAUACAAUGCAUUAGUUUGAUCUCUUACUUGAAGCUGAAGAAAAAAUUGGGAGGACGAGCAAGAAGGAUACUAGGAUUAGGAGGUUGAUGACCAGCUUCAUCUUUUUAGGAUCAGAUUUUUAUCUAAUUGUUCUGUGUGUGUUUGGUGAUAUAUGAAUCGAUUUUUA
rnacentral:lncRNA from 1 species